rnacentral:rRNA from 1 species
UACUAUGUUACGACUUAUUUUAAUAUAAAUUAAAAGCGACGGGCAAUUUGUACACAUUAUUAAUUUUAUUCAAAAAUUAAAUUUAUAAAAAUUUAAUUUUAAAUCCAAUUUCAUUAUUCUAUUACAAAAAUAAAUUCAAAAAUAAAUUCAUUGUAUUUCAUUAAAUUCUUAUUUAUAAAAUGAAUUAUGAUUUGAUAAUUCAUUAAUUAAAAUAUUUAAAUUAUUUUUUAUUAAAAUAAUUAAUUAACAACAAUAUACAAUUUAAUAAAAAUAAGUAAAUUAUAAUGUGUAUUAUCAAUUAAUAAACAAAAUCCUCUAAUUUUUAAUAAUACUGCCAAAUUAUUUAAAUUUUUAAAAUAAUUCAUAAUAAUUAUUGAUAAAUAAAAAAAUAAUAGGGUAUCUAAUCCUAGUUU